GGGCACAUGGUGUAGUUGGUUAUCACGCCCGCUUAGCAUUCACGCGCUCUGUCUGUUUGUCUGCGGGAGGGGUUGGGUUCAAUUCCCAAUGUGUCCA